AAUACAUGAAAAGAACAGCCGAACUUCUGCUGGGAAAUGAAGGACGGAAGGAGGGAAGGAGGGAGGGAGGGAGACCUGGCGUCUAGGGAGAAGUUAAAUAAAUAGGGAAUAUAAAAGUAUUAAAUAUAAUUGGGCACGAACGUGAGAUUCCUAACGCCCCAAACCGAAGCAACAUUUAACCGCGCCUUUUCUGAUAAACUUGAGUUACCGUGUUUCUGAGAGUUUGAGCAUAAAACAAGGCAAAAGCGCCUUGAUCAUCUACCUGCGUGACGACAGAGCGAGUUUUACAGUAAAAGUGGGAGGAUUUGACUACCAUAAUGUGCUACCAUUUUCAGAAAACACAGGUAGGGACAGACUGGAUCUGGCAGAACAGUUACACCAGACUCCUGCUCCAGCUGCUCAAGAUGAUGCAUUACCAAAGAAGAAGCUUUUGGAUAACCUUGGCUAAUAUACAUGGAUAGUUGGUCCUCACACAGAAAAGUCUUUGACCUAAAGAUGAGAAAAGAUGGGAGUCCAGUGCUAUGGGUUGGUUACCAGUUGGACAGAAACAUGAGUGGGGUCCAUGAAUGCCAAGCAAAUCUGACAGGGCACCAUAAAUAUAUGGAGAAUAACAGGGCUCCUCUGAUUUACAUGUUGCUUCAUGAUUGUUGAUGCUGACUUCCAAUCAGGAGACAAAACUGCAGGCCUGGAAGAGACUCUAAUCCAGCCUCCCCCAACCUGCCUUUCAGUCAUUGUUGGGCUCCAGUUUCCAUCAGCCCCAGCCAGCAUGUCUAAUGGUCAGGGAGAUGGGAGCUGUAGUCCAGCAACAUCUGAGGGCCACAGCUUUAGGGAAGGCUGCUUUGGUCUUUUCUUGUCUCAGAUGAAUCUAUACUAUCUUGUCUCAGAUGAAUCUUCUUGUUGCCCAGAUGAAUUUAUACUAUUCCCAGGUUCUGAUUAAAAUUCACCAGUUACCCUUUUCAGUUUGUCCUCUUUUGGGGUGCAUCCAAAUUGAAUAGACUUAAACUUGUUUCAUAUCCCCUCUUCCAGGGAUUUUUAUGGAUUUUUUGUGUGGGGGAGGAAUCUAUAGCAGAGAACUCUGAACAACCUCACUAUGGUACAAAUCCCCAAGAUUCUUUUAGGAAACUCUGAACAGCUAAUGAAGUUUCAGAUUGAUAUAAAUGUCUAGUGUGGACAGUGAAGCACUUAGUUAAUUUUCUACUCUGGACUUAAUCGUCUUAUAGGGGUUCCUCUCUUAGAUGGCAAUGCACAUUUAUUUACUUGGUUCAAAAAGUUGCAAGCCAGCCCUGCUGGAUUUUUUUUGGGGGGGGUGGUGGCUGCUCAUUCUGCCUAGUGGGGUCCCAGUCUUCUGCCCCAUGUCCUGCCCAGAUAGCACCACUAUGUCAUCAUUUGACUGAAAUAUAUUAAAUAUCAUCACGGUGCAUCUGGGAAAACAUGGAACUGGUUUUAAAAAAUGGGGGGGCUUUAUAGUAUAAUCCUCAGAAGUAAGUUCAAUGAAAUUUACUCCAAAGUUAUGUGGGUAUAGGUUUACACCCUUAUU